rnacentral:rRNA from 1 species
AACGAACGCUGGCGGCAUGCCUAACACAUGCAAGUCGAACGAGACCUUCGGGUCUAGUGGCGCACGGGUGCGUAACGCGUGGGAAUCUGCCCUUGGGUUCGGAAUAACAGUUAGAAAUGACUGCUAAUACCGGAUGAUGACUUCGGUCCAAAGAUUUAUCGCCCAGGGAUGAGCCCGCGUCGGAUUAGCUAGUUGGUGAGGUAAAAGCUCACCAAGGCGACGAUCCGUAGCUGGUCUGAGAGGAUGAUCAGCCACACUGGGACUGAGACACGGCCCAGACUCCUACGGGAGGCAGCAGUGGGGAAUAUUGGACAAUGGGCGAAAGCCUGAUCCAGCAAUGCCGCGUGAGUGAUGAAGGCCUUAGGGUUGUAAAGCUCUUUUACCCGGGAUGAUAAUGACAGUACCGGGAGAAUAAGCCCCGGCUAACUCCGUGCCAGCAGCCGCCGUAAG